rnacentral:miRNA from 1 species
UACUCAGGAAGGCAUCAUUCACA